rfam:Candidatus Phaeomarinobacter ectocarpi complete genome
GCGCGGGCCACGCUUCCCCAACGAAGCGCGACCCUCUGCGAGGAGGGAGACA